rnacentral:rRNA from 1 species
AGAAGAGACAUGCGCGCAUAUCAAUAAGCGGAGGAAAAGAAACUAACUAGGAUUCCCUCAGUAACGGCGAGUGAAGCGGGAAGAGCUCAAAUUUGAAAUCUUCAAGGUUCUACCUUGACGAAUUGUAGUUUAAAGAAGUGUUUUCUGUUGGAGUUUUGGUAAAAGUUCUUUGGAAUAGGACAUCAUAGAGGGUGAGAAUCCCGUAUUUGACCAUUAUUUCCAGCUUUGUGAUACACUUUCAAAGAGUCGGAUUGUUUGGGAAUGCAGUCCAAAAUGGGUGGUAAAUUUCAUCUAAAGCUAAAUAUUGGCGAGAGACCGAUAGCGAACAAGUACCGUGAGGGAAAGAUGAAAAGAACUUUGAAAAGAGAGUUAAACAGUACGUGAAAUUGUCAAAAGGGAAGCGUUUGACACCAGUGUUGUUUUCUCGAAAAUCAAUUAAAAAAGGCAGGAUUUUGUGUUGUAUUGACUUUAUCAGCUUUCUGCACUCUAUUCUUGUCUUUUUUAAUGCACUUUUCGUUUAACAAGUCAACAUCAAUUUCUUUUGUUGUAAAAGGGUCAUUGGAAGGUGGCUUUCUUUUCGGAGAAAGUGUUUAUAGCCUUUGGCCUCUGCAAUCGGAGAGAUUGAGGUCUGCAGCGUAGAUCCUUCGGGGUUAGAUACAUUUGUGCUAAGUUAUAGCCUUUCAUAGACAACUUGUUGACUAUGAUCAGUCAUGUAGCUUACUCGCUUAUGCUAUUUUACCUACGCUUAGGAUGUUGAUGUGAUACUGCGAGCA